rnacentral:rRNA from 1 species
GACGAACGCUGGCGGCGUGCCUAAUACAUGCAAGUUGAGCGCUGAAGGUUGGUACUUGUACCAACUGGAUGAGCAGCGAACGGGUGAGUAACGCGUGGGGAAUCUGCCUUUGAGCGGGGGACAACAUUUGGAAACGAAUGCUAAUACCGCAUAAAAACUUUAAACACAAGUUUUAAGUUUGAAAGAUGCAAUUGCAUCACUCAAAGAUGAUCCCGCGUUGUAUUAGCUAGUUGGUGAGGUAAAGGCUCACCAAGGCGAUGAUAGAUAGCCGACCUGAGAGGGUGAUCGGCCACAUUGGGACUGAGACACGGCCCAAACUCCUACGGGAGGCAGCAGUAGGGAAUCUUCGGCAAUGGACGAAAGUCUGACCGAGCAACGCCGCGUGAGUGAAGAAGGUUUUCGGAUCGUAAAACUCUGUUGGUAGAGAAGAACGUUGGUGAGAGUGGAAAGCUCAUCAAGUGACGGUAACUACCCAGAAAGGGACGGCUAACUACGUG